AUAGAACUGUGAACUGGAACAAACCACAAAUCCUCAGCAUGGAAGACAGAGGAUACUCUCCAAAAGACAGGAUACUUCUUUGGAUACUGUGAUGAAGAGGUUUUUUGGUGCACUGGCUCUUAUGACAGUGAAGGAUGUGUUCUGGGGCCCCGUCAUGCAGAAAGGGAAAUGGUGGGAGAAAUAAAAUGUUGCGACACCAGUGAACCGCCUGGGCGAGGCACGCUUCCGUAAUUGCUUUGGAUGCAYGCACCGGUUCCUCAAGUCAGCAGAGGAUCCCAGCAGAGCCAGACGCCGUAGGAUACCCGUUUGCAAACCCCGGUUACGUAACCCUGUCCGGGAGGAACACAGCUGCGCGUWGGCUGCGAUGGAAAGCUGCAUCUUGGAGAGAGUAAACAAGUUCUUCAAAAUUCAGAAGCAGGAUUGGGACUUGAACCUUGUGCCUUUGCAGCCCGGUCCUGUCAUAACUGCAAGACUAACUUCCUCUUGAGACAAGGAAUGCUCAAGGUAAGAUUAGAUUCAAAGACUGGAAAACAAGUUGAAUGUUGAGU
rnacentral:lncRNA from 1 species